rnacentral:rRNA from 1 species
UGCUCCCGGAUGUUAGCGGCGGACGGGUGAGUAACACGUGGGUAACCUGCCUGUAAGACUGGGAUAACUCCGGGAAACCGGAGCUAAUACCGGAUAGUUCCUUGAACCGCAUGGUUCAAGGAUGAAAGACGGUUUCGGCUGUCACUUACAGAUGGACCCGCGGCGCAUUAGCUAGUUGGUGGGGUAAUGGCUCACCAAGGCGACGAUGCGUAGCCGACCUGAGAGGGUGAUCGGCCACACUGGGACUGAGACACGGCCCAGACUCCUACGGGAGGCAGCAGUAGGGAAUCUUCCGCAAUGGACGAAAGUCUGACGGAGCAACGCCGCGUGAGUGAUGAAGGUUUUCGGAUCGUAAAGCUCUGUUGUUAGGGAAGAACAAGUGCGAGAGUAACUGCUCGCACCUUGACGGUACCUAACCAGAAAGCCACGGCUAACUACGUGCCAGCAGCCGCGGUAAUACGUAGGUGGCAAGCGUUGUCCGGAAUUAUUGGGCGUAAAGGGCUCGCAGGCGGUUUCUUAAGUCUGAUGUGAAAGCCCCCGGCUCAACCGGGGAGGGUCAUUGGAAACUGGGAAACUUGAGUGCAGAAGAGGAGAGUGGAAUUCCACGUGUAGCGGUGAAAUGCGUAGAGAUGUGGAGGAACACCAGUGGCGAAGGCGACUCUCUGGUCUGUAACUGACGCUGAGGAGCGAAAGCGUGGGGAGCGAACAGGAUUAGAUACCCUGGUAGUCCACGCCGUAAACGAUGAGUGCUAAGUGUUAGG